CGUCCGGGGCCGCCGCCGCCGCCGCCACCGCCGCUUCGGGGUUCAGGGGGGGCCGGAAAAAACCCAAAUCCCGGGGGUUUCCCCCCAAAAAAAACCCCCGGCAUGGACUCGGGGGGAUCCAAAGCGCUGCCGGACCCGGCCGACGCGAUGACGUCGGACGACUUCGACAUCGUCAUCGAGGCCAUGCUGGAGGCGCCCUACAAGAAGGAGGAGGUG